CCUAUGGGUGGCAGCAGUGGGGAAUAUUGGACAAUGGGGGAAACCCUGAUCCAGCGACGCCGCGUGAGUGAAGAAGUAUUUCGGUACGUAAAGCUCUAUCAGCAGGAAAGAAAAUGACGGUACCUGAACAAGAAGGCGCGGCUAACUACGUGUCAGCAGCCGCGGUGAUACGUAGGGGGCAAGCGUUAUCCGGAUUUACUGGGUGUAACGGGAGCGUAGACGGCAGCGCAAGUCUGGAGUGAAAUGCCGGGGCCCAACCCCGGAACUGCACUGGAAACUGUGAAGCUGGCGUGCAGGAGAGGUACGCGCAAUUCCUGGUGUAGCGGUGAAAUGCGUAGAUAUCAGGAGGAACACCGGCGGCGCAGGCGGCUUACUGGACUGUAACUGACGUUGAGGCUCGAAGGCGUGGGGAGCAAACAGGAUUAGAUACCCGAGUAGUC
rnacentral:rRNA from 1 species